rnacentral:rRNA from 1 species
UACGUAGGGACCAAGCGUUGUCCGGAAUCAUUGGGCGUAAAGAGCGUGUAGGCGGCUUGUUAAGUCUUGCGUGAAAUCUCGGGGCUCAACCCCGAGCGGUCGUGAAGAAACUGGCAGGCUAGAGUGCGGGAGAGGAGAGUGGAAUUCCUGGUGUAGCGGUGAAAUGCGCAGAUAUCAGGAAGAACACCCGUGGCGAAGGCGGCUCUCUGGGACGGUACUGACGCUGAGACGCGAAAGCGUGGGGAGCAAACAGG